GGUAGUUGGUGAGGUAAAGGCUCACCAAGCCGACGAUCUGUAGCUGGUCAGAGAGGACGACCAGCCACACUGGGACUGAGACACGGCCCAGACUCCUACGGGAGGCAGCAGUGGGGAAUUUUGGACAAUGGGCGAAAGCCUGAUCCAGCAAUGCCGCGUGCAGGAUGAAGGCCUUCGGGUUGUAAACUGCUUUUGUACGGAACGAAACGGCGAGCUCUAAUACAGUUUGCUAAUGACGGUACCGUAAGAAUAAGCACCGGNUAACUACGUGCCAGCAGCCGCGGUANNNNNUAGGGUGCAAGCGUNNNUCGGAAUUACUGGGCGUAAAGCGUNNNNAGGCGGUUNNNUAAGACAGGCGUGAAAUCCCCGGGCUCAACCUGGGAAUUGCGUUUGUGACUGUAGGGCUAGAGUACGGCAGAGGGGGAUGGAAUUCCGCGUGUAGCAGUGAAAUGCGUAGAUAUGCGGAGGAACACCGAUGGCGAAGGCAAUCCCCUGGGCCUGUACUGACGCUCAUGCACGAA
rnacentral:rRNA from 1 species